AUCGAACGCUGGCGGCAGGCUUAACACAUGCAAGUCGAGCGGAGAUGAGGUGCUUGCACCUUAUCUUAGCGGCGGACGGGUGAGUAAUGCUUAGGAAUCUGCCUAUUAGUGGGGGACAACAUUCCGAAAGGAAUGCUAAUACCGCAUACGCCCUACGGGGGACAGCAGGGGAUCUUCGGACCUUGCGCUAAUAGAUGAGCCUAAGUCGGAUUAGCUAGUUGGUGGGGUAAAGGCCUACCAAGGCGACAAUCUGUAGCGGGUCUGAGAGGAUGAUCCGCCACACUGGGACUAAGACACGGCCCAGACUCCUACGGGAGGCAGCAGUGGGGAAUAUUGGACAAUGGGCGGAAGCCUGAUCCAGCCAUGCCGCGUGUGUGAAGAAGGCCUUUUGGUUGUAAAGCACUUUAAGCGAGGAGGAGGCUACCUGGAUUAAUACUCUAGGAUAGUGGACGUUACUCGCAGAAUAAGCACCGGCUAACUCUGUGCCAGCAGCCGCCGUAAUAC
rnacentral:rRNA from 1 species